ACUUAUAUAGUAUAAUAAUUAUACUUGACUUCCAAUCAAGAGACCUACUAGUCGUUGUAUAAGUA
rnacentral:tRNA from 1 species